UACGGAGGGUGCGAGCGUUGUCCGGAAUCACUGGGCGUAAAGGGCGCGUAGGCGGCAGGCCAAGCGUGCGGUGAAAGUCCGGGGCUCAACCCCGGAUCUGCCGUGCGGACUGGUUUGCUAGAGCACUGUAGAGGCGAGUGGAAUUCCGGGUGUAGCGGUGGAAUGCGUAGAGAUCCGGAAGAACACCGGUGGCGAAGGCGGCCCGCUGGGCAGAGACUGACGCUGAGGCGCGACAGCGUGGGGAGCAAACAGG
rnacentral:rRNA from 1 species